rnacentral:rRNA from 1 species
GAAUAACCACGGGAAACUGUGGCUAAUACCGAAUAUGUUGAGAGAUGAAAGAUUUAUCGCUCUAGGAUUAGCCCGCGUUGGAUUAGCUAGUUGGUGGGGUAAUGGCCUACCAAGGCGACGAUCCAUAGCUGGUUUGAGAGGAUGAUCAGCCACACUGGGACUGAGACACGGCCCAGACUCCUACGGGAGGCAGCAGUAAGGAAUAUUGGACAAUGGGCGCAAGCCUGAUCCAGCCAUGCCGCGUGAGUGAUGAAGGCCUUCGGGUUGUAAAGCUCUUUUGGCGGGGAAGAUAAUGACUGUACCCGCAGAAUAAGCUCCGGCUAACUUCGUGCCAGCAGCCGCGGUAAUACGAAGGGGGCGAGCGUUGUUCGGAAUUACUGGGCGUAAAGCGUGCGUA